rnacentral:lncRNA from 1 species
CCCAUAGAGAAUGAUAAAGGCCUCUAGUGGCCAAAAGGCUAUUUUUGCAUGGGCAAUACCACUGCCGGCUGCCAUUAUUUUAAUCAAGUCAACUGGGUGGGACAUCCAACUUCAUUGGCUAAUCCCUCCUGGUAGCCUUGUUGGAGUCAUGUGCAACUGGGUCAUCAGGAGGAAUCAGCCAAUCGUGAAGAAGAAAAUAUACUACUUCAAAAUGGAGUUAGCCUUAAUGGCGCUGCUCAUGCUGUUACAGACGCCAUAAUGGCACGGAUACAAUGAUGAGGCCUCUUUCCAUCUCUAUGGUUGGGACAGUUACUGAAAGACAACAUUUGUUUGCAACUUUGCCAGGACGAGAAAUUGUGUUCCUGCGUUUGCACAAUGUCAUGUUGAAGUGGAAAAAAAGUUAAAUAUUAUAAAAACAUUUGUGGAAGCAUGCAUGUCAAAUAUGGUUAAUUGGCCUACUCAACAAUGUCAACAGACUACACACUGUGGAAACCAAAAAAAGAGUGGAAUCCAGAACCAGUUUUCUGUCUACUACUAUCCAGUCUGGCCAAAAUGGACAAGUACUGAACACAAAAUGUGGUGUAAAGAGAAGAGGUGUAGCUAUACAGAAGAUACUGUAUAUAGAGCUGCAUUGUGGUCAGCCAUCAUUGGACAGGAACGUAGAAGGUUCAAGGCCUGGAAGGUGAUGAGGAGCAGCGUCAUGGCCUGUCUGUGCAGCACAACAGUUGGACAGUAAUACUCUUGGGACACGGGCUAGAAAGAUAAGGUUCGGUGGUGGCAUGAACUGCAGAUGAUGCAGACCAGAUACUGACAGAGGAUUAGUGUGGAAUGAAUGACGAGGCAUCUGCUAUAGCCUGAACUUGGCCGAGGAUGAGUGAAGAGGAGAAGGAGUCACUUGAAGUGGACGACUCCCUCAUUCUUUUUGGAUCAGAUUCAAGAUUACAGACUCACAGAAUUGUUUCGAUUAUUUCAAUAUUCUUUUUGGGUGCAAAGCACAAUUUAUGUCUUCAAAGCAUUAUAUAUGAUCACAUAAUAAUGCAUUAGCCUAUACAGUACCUGUUGGCCUUAUUUUAAGUGUUACCAAAUAAUCUAUUCAGUUAGGCCUGAAGCUAACAAUAUGUGAAAAAAGCAGAGUAUGUACUAAAUCAGAGAUGGGCAGCUCCAGUCCUCGGGGGCUUGACUGGUGUCACACUUUUACCCCAGCCCCAGCUAACACAUCUGACUCCAAUAAUCAACUAAUCAUGAUCUUUAGUUUAGAAUGUAAUUAGUUUCAUCAGCUGUUUUGAUUAGGUAUGUGUAAAAAGUGUGACACCAUUCCCGCCCCCGAGGACUGAAGUUGCCCAUACCUGUGCUAAAUGCAAACUUUAUUUUUAAUCAGAAAAAUGUCACCUAGGAACACUUUGCAUCAAGUGGAGUUGUGGUUAGUUACAAUGUGGUUGGGAACAAAAGGUGCAGCAGUACAAUGAAGAAGUUGGGCUUAAGUGGCCAGUGAUAGCUGAGCCUCUAUCAGUCAUAAUAGUCCCAAAUCCCUGCGCCCCACAGUAUACAUCACUUCUUAUGAGAACCAGGAACUAAAGCCACGUUGGCCCAUUUUUAAAGGCUGUGAGAAAUGGGAGCUUCUUUCAAAACCGUCCAUUUCAGAUGUCUUGGGUGGGACACACUGACGUGUUCUCUCUAUUGAUGGAGAAGCUUAUCUAGAUCUAUCUUCCCUGUGGGGCAAGCUGCCAACAGUUUUCUAAAGCCAUGAAAAUAUACUUUACUGAAUAGCAAGCAACCUCAGUGUGUGAAGAAAAUCAAAGUUGUGACAAUGCAUUUCAAGUUGGCCUCAAUAAAUGGAC